AAGCGUGAUCCAAUGUAACAACUUUGACGGAUCCGAAACAUGAUAUUGUUUCAUGGAGCACAAUUAUCACAGGAUAUGGAAGUCAUGGAAAAGGGGAGAUAGAUGGCUUUAAAGCUGUAUUCGGAUUUUCUAAUUUCAUGGAAUCAACCAAAUCGUGUCAUUUUCCUUUCUGUUCUCUUCUCUUGUAGCCACAAUGGGAUGGUUUCUGAAGGUCUGAGCUUAUUCAAUUCUAUGACUCGGGAUUUUGGAAUUAAACCAGAACUUGAGCAUCGAGCUUGCAUCGUUGAUCUGCUCUGUCGAGCUGGAAAGAUUGGGGAGGCAUAUGAAUUCAUUUGGAAAAUGUUCUCUAACCCUACAACUGAUGUUUUGGGCAUACUUCUCGAUGCAUGUCGGAUGAAGGGUGAUGCUAAACUUGGAGAAAUUGUUGCAAGAGAUAUGAUGAUGCUGAAACCUGCAUGUGCUGGAAAUUAUGUACAACUAGCUCAUAGUUUUGCUGCUAUGAAUAGAUGGGAGGGGGUGAAUGAUGCAUGGACUCAAAUUAAGGCUCUUGGACUUAAAAAACUCCCAGGUUGGAGUCUGAGUUAAUUUGGUGACAGCAGUCUGAGUCAUUCAGUCAUCCUGAAGAUUCAUCUUCCAGCUGCUGUCUGGUACUGCAGACCUGUGUGCCAAUUACCAAGGUCUGGGGUAAAUUUCCCAAUCAAAGUAACAAUAAUUGAACAUAUAGUUGGUUAACUUGUGCAAAUAUAUAGGGAAGAUUUUAUUGUAGAAGUGAUUCUUUGACAGUAAAUCGGUUCACAUUAGAGAUGGGAAGUAUGUAUCUUAUCUAUGUUCUACCAUUCCAUUCACGUUUAUGUGUUGACAUAUUGAUGGUUAACUUGUGCACAGAUCGAUGCAGGUGUGAUUGUAUAGCUUCUACGGGUGAUUCUUUCAUCCGUAAUUUCUUCUACAGAUCAACCAUUUCUGCAGGUGUAUGUUCGAGUGUCACAAGUACGUAACUGGGAGGAAAGUCAUGCAGGAGACAAUUGUGAAAUGAUCUUCAUGUGAUAUUAUUGAUGAUUCAAGUGGUCAUGGUAUAUGUAGAUCAAGAUCAAGAUCAACAAGUUAUCUUGAAGCUAAG